UUUGCACCCGCCGCACUGCUCAGUAACACGUAGUCAAUCUGCCCUGGGGACGGGUAUAACCCCGGGAAACUGGGGAUAAUACCCGAUAGAAGAGAGGUACUGGAAGGUCCCCUCUUCCAAACGGAUUCUUCGGAAUCCGCCCCAGGAUGAGACUGCGGCGGAUUAGGUUGUUGUUGGGGUAAAUGCCCAACAAGCCGAUAAUCCGUACGGGUUGUGAGAGCAAUAGCCCGGAGAUGGACUCUGAGACAUGAGUCCAGGCCCUACGGGGUGCAGCAGGCGCGAAACCUUCGCAAUGCGCGAAAGCGUGACGAGGGGACUCCGAGUGGCUUCGCACUGCGAAGCCUUUUGCCGAGUGUGAAAGGGCUCGGCGAAUAAGGGGUGGGCAAGACGGUUGCCAGCCGCCGCGGUAAUAACCGCGCCCCAAGUGGUGGUCACUAUUAUUGGGCCUAAAGCGUCCGU
rnacentral:rRNA from 1 species